rnacentral:rRNA from 1 species
GGCGAAAGGGUGAGUAACGCGUGAGCAAUCUACCUCUAAGUUCGGAAUAACCCCGCGAAAGUGGAGCUAAUACCGGAUGUGGUACCUCGUCGCAUGGCGAGGCUAUUAAAGGUGGGGAUCCUUCGGGACCUGCUGCUUGGAGAGGAGCUCGCGUCCCAUCAGCUUGUUGGUAGGGUAACGGCCUACCAAGGCAUACGGGUAGCCGGCCUGAGAGGGUGACCGGCCACACUGGGACUGAGACACUGCCCAGACUCCUACGGGAGGCUGCAGUCGAGGAUCAUUCGCAAUGCGCGAAAGCGUGACGAUGCGACGCUGCGUGGAGGAUGACGGCCCUAGGGUUGUAAACUCCUGUCAUGAGGGAACAGCCGGCAAAGGGAUAAUACCCCUUCGCUCCGAUGGUACCUCAAGAGGAAGCCACGGCUAACUCUGUGCCAGCAGCCGCGGUAAUACAGAGGUGGCGAGCGUUGUUCGGAUUUACUGGGCGUAAAGGGUGCGUAGGUGGUUUCGUAUGUCGGAUGUGAAAGCCCGGGGCUCAACCCCGGAACUGCAUUCGAAACUGCGGGACUAGAGUACAGGAUGGGAGAGCGGAAUUCUUGGUGUAGCGGUGAAAUGCGUUGAGAUCAAGAAGAACACCGGCGGCGAAGGCGGCUCUCUGGAAUGUUACUGACACUCAUGCACGAAAGCUGGGGUAGCAAACAGGAUUAGAUACCCUGGUAGUCCCAGCUGUAAACUGUGUGCACUUGGUGUUGGCGGUAUUGACCCCGCCAGUGCCGGAGUUAACGCGUUAAGUGCACCGCCUGAGGAGUACGAUCGCAAGGUUAAAACUCAAAGAAAUUGACGGGGGCCCGCACAAGCGGAGGAGCAUGUGGCUUAAUUCGAUGCAACGCGAAGAACCUUACCUGGGUUUGACAUCGGAGAGGCUUGCCUCUAGCGCGUGAAAGCGCGUUAACCAGACAGGUGCUGCAUGGCUGUCGUCAGUUCGUGCCGUGAGGUGUUGGGUUAAGUCCCGCAACGAAAGCAAUCCUUAUGUUUAGUUGCCACCCCCGAGCAAUCGGGGCGCACUUUAGACAGACUGCCCGUUCAAGCGGGAGGAAGGUGGGG